rnacentral:rRNA from 1 species
UGGGGAAUAUUGCACAAUGGGCGCAAGCCUGAUGCAGCCAUGCCGCGUGUGUGAAGAAGGCCUUCGGGUUGUAAAGCACUUUCAGCGAGGAGGAAGGUGGUGAGCUUAAUACGCUCAUCAAUUGACGUUACUCGCAGAAGAAGCACCGGCUAACUCCGUGCCAGCAGCCGCGGUAAUACGGAGGGUGCAAGCGUUAAUCGGAAUUACUGGGCGUAAAGCGCACGCAGGCGGUUUGUUAAGUCAGAUGUGAAAUCCCCGGGCUCAACCUGGGAACUGCAUUUGAAACUGGCAAGCUAGAGUCUCGUAGAGGGGGGUAGAAUUCCAGGUGUAGCGGUGAAAUGCGUAGAGAUCUGGAGGAAUACCGGUGGCGAAGGCGGCCCCCUGGACGAAGACUGACGCUCAGGUGCGAAAGCGUGGGGCAGCAAACAGGAUUAGAUACCCUGGUAGUCCACGUUGUAAACGAUGUCGAUUUUGGAGGUUGUGCCCUUGAGGCGUGGCUUCCGGAGCUAACGCGUUAAAUCGACCGCCUGGGGAGUACGGCCGCAAGGUUAAAACUUAAAGGAAUUGACGGGGUC